AGAUUGAACGCUGGCGGCAUGCCUAACACAUGCAAGUCGAGCGGCAGCGCGGGGGCGACCCUGGCGGCGAGCGGCGGACGAGUGAGUAAGGCAUCGGAAUCUGCCCUGAUGGUGGGGGAUAACGUAGGGAGACUUACGCUAAUACCGCAUACGACCGAGAGGUGGAAAGGCGGGGGACCGAAAGGCCUCGCGCAGCAGGAUGAGCCGAUGUCCGAUUAGCUAGGUUGGGUCGGGGUAACCGCCUACCAAGGCGACGAUCGGUAGCUGGUCUGAGAGGAUGA
rnacentral:rRNA from 1 species